rnacentral:rRNA from 1 species
GGGUUGUGAGGUUAAGCGACUAAGCGUACACGGUGGAUGCCCUGGCAGUCAGAGGCGAUGAAGGGCGUGCUAAUCUGCGAUAAGCGCCGGUAAGGUGAUAUGAACCGUUAUAACCGGCGAUACCCGAAUGGGGAAACCCAGUGUGAUUCGUCACACUAUCAUUAACUGAAUCCAUAGGUUAAUGAGGCGAACCGGGGGAACUGAAACAUCUAAGUACCCCGAGGAAAAGAAAUCAACCGAGAUUCCCCCAGUAGCGGCGAGCGAACGGGGAGGAGCCCAGAGCCUGAAUCAGCAUAUGUGUUAGUGGAAGCGUCUGGAAAGGCGCGCGAUACAGGGUGACAGCCCCGUACACAAAAGCGCAUGUGCUGUGAGCUCGAUGAGUAGGGCGGGACACGUGGUAUCCUGUCUGAAUAUGGGGGGACCAUCCUCCAAGGCUAAAUACUCCUGACUGACCGAUAGUGAACCAGUACCGUGAGGGAAAGGCGAAAAGAACCCCGGCGAGGGGAGUGAAAAAGAACCUGAAACCGUGUACGUACAAGCAGUGGGAGCCCCACCACUAAGCCAGUGGUGAACUCCACAUACGCAUCCUUUGCUGAGGAUACGGUUAACGGAGCGCAAGCGACGUUCAACCUCAAAAGAAGCAGAGGGGGCUUAGUGGUGGGGUGACUGCGUACCUUUUGUAUAAUGGGUCAGCGACUUAUAUUCUGUAGCAAGGUUAACCGUAUAGGGGAGCCGGAGGGAAACCGAGUCUUAAUUGGGCGUUAAGUUGCAGGGUAUAGACCCGAAACCCGGUGAUCUAGCCAUGGGCAGGUUGAAGGUUGGGUAACACUAACUGGAGGACCGAACCGACUAAUGUUGAAAAAUUAGCGGAUGACCUGUGGCUGGGGGUGAAAGGCCAAUCAAACCGGGAGAUAGCUGGUUCUCCCCGAAAGCUAUUUAGGUAGCGCCUCGUGAAUUCAUCUCCGGGGGUAGAGCACUGUUUCGGCUAGGGGGCCAUCCCGGCUUACCAACCCGAUGCAAACUGCGAAUACCGGAGAAUGUUAUCACGGGAGACACACGGCGGGUGCUAACGUCCGUCGUGAAGAGGGAAACAACCCAGACCGCCAGCUAAGGUCCCAAAGUCAUGGUUAAGUGGGAAACGAUGUGGGAAGGCCCAGACAGCCAGGAUGUUGGCUUAGAAGCAGCCAUCAUUUAAAGAAAGCGUAAUAGCUCACUGGUCGAGUCGGCCUGCGCGGAAGAUGUAACGGGGCUAAACCAUGCACCGAAGCUGCGGCAGCGACACUCAGGUGUUGUUGGGUAGGGGAGCGUUCUGUAAGCCUGCGAAGGUGGCCUGUGAGGGUUGCUGGAGGUAUCAGAAGUGCGAAUGCUGACAUAAGUAACGAUAAAGCGGGUGAAAAGCCCGCUCGCCGGAAGACCAAGGGUUCCUGUCCAACGUUAAUCGGGGCAGGGUGAGUCGACCCCUAAGGCGAGGCCGAAAGGCGUAGUCGAUGGGAAACGGGUUAAUAUUCCCGUACUUGGUGUUACUGCGAAGGGGGGACGGAGAAGGCUAUGUUGGCCGGGCGACGGUUGUCCCGGUUUAAGCGUGUAGGUGUGUGUUCCAGGUAAAUCCGGUUCACUUUAACACUGAGGCGUGACGACGAGGCACUACGGUGCUGAAGCAACAAAUGCCCUGCUUCCAGGAAAAGCCUCUAAGCAUCAGGUAACAUCAAAUCGUACCCCAAACCGACACAGGUGGUCAGGUAGAGAAUACCAAGGCGCUUGAGAGAACUCGGGUGAAGGAACUAGGCAAAAUGGUGCCGUAACUUCGGGAGAAGGCACGCUGACAUGUAGGUGAAGUGAUUUACUCAUGGAGCUGAAGUCAGUCGAAGAUACCAGCUGGCUGCAACUGUUUAUUAAAAACACAGCACUGUGCAAACACGAAAGUGGACGUAUACGGUGUGACGCCUGCCCGGUGCCGGAAGGUUAAUUGAUGGGGUCAGCGCAAGCGAAGCUCCUGAUCGAAGCCCCGGUAAACGGCGGCCGUAACUAUAACGGUCCUAAGGUAGCGAAAUUCCUUGUCGGGUAAGUUCCGACCUGCACGAAUGGCGUAAUGAUGGCCAGGCUGUCUCCACCCGAGACUCAGUGAAAUUGAACUCGCUGUGAAGAUGCAGUGUACCCGCGGCAAGACGGAAAGACCCCGUGAACCUUUACUAUAGCUUGACACUGAACAUUGAGCCUUGAUGUGUAGGAUAGGUGGGAGGCUUUGAAGUGUGGACGCCAGUCUGCAUGGAGCCGACCUUGAAAUACCACCCUUUAAUGUUUGAUGUUCUAACGUGGACCCGUGAUCCGGGUUGCGGACAGUGUCUGGUGGGUAGUUUGACUGGGGCGGUCUCCUCCUAAAGAGUAACGGAGGAGCACGAAGGUUGGCUAAUCCUGGUCGGACAUCAGGAGGUUAGUGCAAUGGCAUAAGCCAGCUUGACUGCGAGCGUGACGGCGCGAGCAGGUGCGAAAGCAGGUCAUAGUGAUCCGGUGGUUCUGAAUGGAAGGGCCAUCGCUCAACGGAUAAAAGGUACUCCGGGGAUAACAGGCUGAUACCGCCCAAGAGUUCAUAUCGACGGCGGUGUUUGGCACCUCGAUGUCGGCUCAUCACAUCCUGGGGCUGAAGUAGGUCCCAAGGGUAUGGCUGUUCGCCAUUUAAAGUGGUACGCGAGCUGGGUUUAGAACGUCGUGAGACAGUUCGGUCCCUAUCUGCCGUGGGCGCUGGAGAACUGAGGGGGGCUGCUCCUAGUACGAGAGGACCGGAGUGGACGCAUCACUGGUGUUCGGGUUGUCAUGCCAAUGGCACUGCCCGGUAGCUAAAUGCGGAAGAGAUAAGUGCUGAAAGCAUCUAAGCACGAAACUUGCCCCGAGAUGAGUUCUCCCUGAGACUUUAAGUCUCCUGAAGGAACGUUGAAGACGACGACGUUGAUAGGCCGGGUGUGUAAGCGCAGCGAUGCGUUGAGCUAACCGGUACUAAUGAACCGUGAGGCUUAACCUUACAACGCCGAAG